UUUGAUCCUHGCUCAGAAUGAACGCUGGCGGCGUGCUUAACACAUGCAAGUCGAACGAUGAAGAGUAGCUUGCUACUCGGAUUAGUGGCGCACGGGUGAGUAAUAUAUAGAUAACGUACCUCUUAGUCUGGGAUAGCCAUUGGAAACGAUGAUUAAUACUAGAUACUCCUUCUGAUUCUAAUUUCAGUCGGGAAAGUUUUUCGCUAAGAGAUCGGUCUAUAUCCUAUCAGUUAGUUGGUGAGGUAAUGGCUCACCAAGGCAAUGACAGGUAGCGGGUUUGAGAGGAUGAUCCGCCACACUGGUACUGAGACACGGACCAGACUCUACGGGAGGCAGCAGUGAGGAAUAUUGCACAAUGGGGGAAACCCUGAUGCAGCAACGCCGCGUGGAGGAUGAUGCAUUUCGGUGUGUAAACUCCUUUUAUAUGUCAAGAAAAUGACGGUAGCAUAUGAAUAAGCACCGGCUAACUCCGUGCCAGCAGCCGCGGUAAUACGGAGGGDGCAAGCYUUAUUCGGAAUAACUGGGCYUAAAGGAAGAGUAGGCMGGUUMUCAAMUGAGGUGUGAAAUCCUACAGCUUAACUGUAGAACUGCACUUGAAACUGGUUACCUAGAGUAUGGGAGGGGGAGAUGGAAUUAGUGGUGUAGGGUAAAAUCCGUAGAUAUCACUAGGAAUACNGAAAG
rnacentral:rRNA from 1 species